GAGAGAGCACUUUAGCUUGAACUUUCUUGUAUUACAGUGUCAGUUUUUCCCUUUCAUUUUCUUGUACUGCAGUUCCAAGAAUCCAUAAUGACUUCCCGUAUCAUAUUUUUCUUAUUAUUAUCAUCUCCCUUUUAUUACGGGUUUUCCUUUUCUUGUCCUGUGAAGUCCUAGUAUUCCCGAGGGUCUUUGCAAUCCCCGAAAUAUUUUUUGUAAUCCCGUUGAAAAUAAGAAAACUUGUUGAUCCUUCAGCGCGGCGAGACGGAGAUUGGCAAGGUGUUUGUGUCGUGCUCCCCUUGCCAGGAAAAGGCACUGUCAACAAGUGAGGGCAUCUAACAAGAGAGGCAGCUGUGUGAACAGUUACCUUGAUAUCGGAUUCACAAACAUUACUGAGAAAGGUGCAGUUAAACCCCAUUGUGUGAUUUGUCACAAAAUGCUUACAGGCCCAAUAAGCUUAGCAUUCAAGCACCCUGAAGUAUGUUGUCAAAGACCGUUCAUCCUUCAGUCGGCUUCAGUCAACUCUGAGGAGCCAGCGUCUUGAUGCCAAUGGCUCCUCUCAUCAACAAAAUUCAAUGCUGUGGAUAGCGUCCCUAACUACGAAUCUCCGGCAAUGGAUUCGAAUCCCAGGCAGUCGGCGUGCAGCCGGCCGAG